rnacentral:rRNA from 1 species
GACGAACGCUGGCGGCGUGCUUAACACAUGCAAGUCGAACGGAAAGGCCUUUUCGGAGGUACUCGAGUGGCGAACGGGUGAGUAACACGUGGGUGAUCUGCCCUGCACUCUGGGAUAAGCCUGGGAAACUGGGUCUAAUACCGGAUAGGACCGCACCUUAGUGUGUGUGGUGGAAAGAUUUUUCGGUGUAGGAUGAGCCCGCGGCCUAUCAGCUUGUUGGUGGGGUAAUGGCCUACCAAGGCGGCGACGGGUAGCCGGACUGAGAGGUUGGUCGGCCACAUUGGUACUGAGAUACGGCCCAGACUCCUACGGGAGGCAGAAGUGGGGAAUAUUGCACAAUGGGCGCAAGCCUAAUGCAGCGACGCCGCGUGGGGGAUGACGGCCUUCGAGUUGUAAACUCCUUUCGCCAGGGACGAAGCGUUUUGUGACGGUAACUGGAGAAGAAGCCCCGGCUAACUACGUG